GACGAACCGUCCGAACGUUAUUCGGAAUCACUGAGCUUAAAGGGUGCGUAGGCGGCGCGGAAAGUUGGGUGUGAAAUCCCUCGGCUUAACCGAGGAACGGCGCCCAAAACUACCGUGCUCGAGGGAGAUAGAGGUGAGCGGAACUUAGGGUGGAGCGGUGAAAUGCGUUGAUAUCCUAAGGAACACCGGUGGCGAAAGCGGCUCACUGGAUCUCUUCUGACGCUGAUGCACGAAAGCUAGGGUAGCGAACGGG
rnacentral:rRNA from 1 species